GCCCUUGUAGCUCAGUCGGCAGAGCGCAUCCUUGGUAAGGAUGAGGUCGGCGGUUCAAUUCCGCUCGAGGGCU
rnacentral:tRNA from 1 species